AAAAAUCCAGCUACACAGAGAAGAUAAAAAGGAAAAAAACCCAGGUUUGGUAAACCUUCCAAAAUUAAGCAUGGGAAAUCAAAGGGGCUACUGUAAUCCGCGUUCUAUAUGUUGUUUCGCAAAGAAAAAAGAAGGGGUAGAGAAGACAAAUGGACAAAAGUGGAGUGGCCUGAAGGAGGAGGGAUAAACGAGUAGUAGUACAUAAAGAUUAAAGCUUGACAAGGAGGCACAAAUGGAGAAAUGUUGAGAGAGAGAAAGUGAGAAAAGGGAGUUACUUACAUGACAUCUGUAAACCAGUUUCAAACCCUAGUCACUGAUUUUCUGGUCCUUGUUCUUCUUCGCGUUUUGAUCGGUACAUGCAUUUGGUGAGGUUUGGAGAAGGGAAUGUGCCGUUGUGAAUGCUUGUUUCUUCUGGGUUUUGAUCCGACUGAAAGGUGAGCUCCUCCGCUGUGGUAAUUCUGGGUUUGGAGUUUAUCAGUGAUUUUUUUUUGAAUGAUGGUGAGCUGAUUAAUUUUUGUUCAAUUUUCACGAAUUCUCUUGAUCUCCUUCUGAUCGACUAACUGGUUGGUGUUUUGUUGGUCAUUUUUUUUCUUUGAGGAAUUCAGCGAUUUCUCUCUCUUUCUGUAUCCAACAUGAACGCCAUUAACGGAUUUUACAAGCUUUGUCUUUGUUUAAAGUAUUCAUCAGAUUCAAAAUUUCAAUUGAGUGUUGAUCUUGGUCAUAUAUUUUUGAGAAAUUUCAAAGUUUUAAUCCAUCUUACUGUUGUUUUUCUUUACUGUGAUACUUGUGAAGGAAUUGCAGUGGAGGAGUAUAAUGUUUAGUGUGAUAAUGGGCGCUUGGUUUUAGAUGAAAGCAUAAUAGACAAAUGCAUACUUCUAUAGAUAGGUUAAAACUUGUCAUGCAUCUAGGUUUAUUGGGUAUUUCUUUGCUACUUGUUUACUGACAUAAACGUGAUUUUUAUCUUAGCUUUUUUCCAUUUCUGUCGUCAACGUUG